CCAAUAGCGUAUAUUAAAGUUGUUGCAGUUAAAAAGCUCGUAGUUGAAUUUCGGGAUUUAUCCGUUGGUCGGGCUUUUGGGUCUGUACUGGCGUGAUGGAUUUCUACCUUCUGAAUAACCGGCAUGUCAUUAAUUUGGUGCGCCGGGGAAGCAGGACUGUUACCUUGAAAAAAUUAGAGUGCUUAAAGCAGGCUAUUGCCUGAAUACAUUAGCAUGGAAUAAUGAAAUAGGACGGCAUGGUUCUAUUUUGUUGGUUUCUAGGAUCACCGUAAUGAUUAAUAGGGAUAGUUGGGGGCAUUAGUAUUCAAUUGUCAGAGGUGAAAUUCUUGGAUUUAUUGAAGACUAACUUCUGCGAAAGCAUUUGCCAAGGAUGUUUUCAUUAAUCAAGAACGAAAGUUAGGGGAUCGAAGACGAUCAGAUACCGUCGUAGUCUUAACCAUAAACUAUGCCGACUAGGGAUCGGACGAUGUUAAUUUUUUAAUGACUCGUUCGGCGCCUUAC
rnacentral:rRNA from 1 species